GGAAAAACCACCAAGCUACAACUUCAAAGCUUACCUUAUUUAGAAAAGGAGAAAAGGCUUUUUUAUAGAUGUUGAGGUUGAGUAAGGGGGGCGGAGCUUGAAGAGCGAAGCGAGCCGCGUUAGCCUAGCAACAAUUUUUAGCAGCAAGCUAAGGUCUAACGACCCCCUAUCCUAGGUUGGGGCGAAAACUCCAAAAUCCAAAAUGUUGCUUAGGGUUCCAAACCUUUCUCUAGUAAUAAGGUAUGCUUUCAAGCCGCCGCCCUUUGAAGGAGCGGGCGUAGUGAACUAUAAUUGUGAAAAGAUUAGAAGAUCUAGCCAAAGAAGAUGAUAGCCCUGUAGAUACAUUCCCAUGGUUCAAUCCUUCCCGGUAAAACACAGCGUGUUCGAAUUCUGAUCGCUUUUAUGUGAGAAAGGUGGACCACCCUCUAAGCCUAAGUAUUCCUCAAUGACCGAUAGUGUACAAUUACAAUGAGGGAAAGGUGAAAAGAACCCUAUUUAGGGAGUGCAAUAGAUAACCUGAGAUCCGAUGCGAAUAAUCAGUCGAAGGAGCAAAGCUUAGAGCCUUUACUUUAUGUAAAGUACACUCACUCUAAUGGCGUACCUUUUGCAUGAUGGGUCAGCGAGGAAACUCCGAAUACAGGCCUAGAUCAUUUGUACAGACAGAAUUUUUGGGUGCUAAGAUCCAAAGUUAAGAGGGAAACAGCCCAGAUCGAAUGCUAAGGUCCCUAAGCAAUCACUUAGUGGAAAAGGAAGUGAUCGAGUGAUGACAACCACAGGUGGGCUUGGAAGCAACCAUCCUUUGAAGAAAGCGUAAUAGCUCACUGGUCUAGCUCUAUGUCUAGCUCACGGGAACCAUCUUAUUUCAGGGCUCAAGUGAUUCACCAAAGCAACGAGACCUUAAAAGCUACUUUUUCAAGUGUUAGUAGCGGAACGUUCUAUCAAUAGGGGAAGUUUUUGGUGACAAAACCUGGAGAUAUCAGAAGUGAGAAUGCUGACAUGAGUAACGAAAAAUCCUAUGAAAAACACGAUCGCCUGCCAGUGGAAGGUUUUCUGCAUUCAGUCAAUCUACGCAGAGUGAAUCGGUCCCUAAGAAACCCCCGAAAAGGCUGGCGUCUGAUGGGUACAUGAAAGUGAUGAAGUUGCUUUAACUACAGAACCAUGGCUGUCUAUUGGAGAGAAUUAGAUGAUCGAUCCGAGGGCUGCCCCAUCUUUCCCUUACUCUCCUUUCCCUAAUAUGAACCUUGAGUCAUCAAAGCCUUUCUGACUUGGCCUGGUUCGGUCGCCUUACGUGACUGGAGCUUCAAAAGGCGAAACUCUCGGUCGUAGUUUGGCGACCUAUCUUCAGUAGGGGCCUUUAGUCUUUUGAUUAGAGUAGGGGUCACGAGAGAGUAGAGUGUACCCCCCUGUCAUAGUCACGAGUCUGUUUAUAGUCACGACUAUUGUCAUAGUCAACAAGGUUGAAACUUCCAAGAAAAAACUUCGAAUUCGGAGGGCGAUCCUCCCGGUGAUUUAACUGUACCCCAAAAUGACACAGGUGAAAAAGUAGGUAUACUAGGGCGCUUGAGAGAACCAUGUCGAAGGAACUCAACAAAAUGACCCCGUAACUUUGGGAGAAAGGUGCUCUCUUAUGUUUUGAUUAGGAAAGCGGCACAUACUAGGGGGUAGUGAGUGUUUAUUAAAAACAAAGGACUCUGCUAAAUGGUAACACUAUGUAUAGAGUCUGACACCUUUCCGGUACUGGAAGGUCGGAAGGAGAAGUGUCAUAAGCUUUUAAUGGAAGCCCCGGUAAACGGCGGCAGUAACUCUAAUUGUCCUAAGGUAGCAAAAUUCCUUGUCGAAUAAGUAGCGACCUGCACGAAUGGUGUAACGACUGCCCCGCUGUCUCCAAAAUGGACCCGGUGAAAUUGAAUUCUCCGUGAAGAUGCAGAGUACGAAUAGCUAGACGGUAAGACCCCGCGCACCUUAACUAUAGCUUCACAGUGACAACCUUAAUCGAAUGUGUAGGAUAGGUGGGAGGUGGUAACAUACAACGACCAAUCCUGAAAGACCACUCUUUCAUCUAAGGAUGCCUAACCGAUGCACCGAUCAUUCGGGGGAGGCGGGACACUGCGAGGUGGGUAAUUUAUCUAGGGCCGAUGACUCUUAAAGAGUAACGAAGGUAUGCGAAGGUAGGCUCAAGCUAAGAUUCUGCUCGUGAGCAUAAUGGUAUUAGCCUGCCUGACUGUGAGACCGACUGGUAGAACAGAGACAAAAGUCAACCAUAGUGAUCCGGGAGUCCCGUGUGGAAGGGCUCUCGCUUAACGGAUCAAAGGUACGUCGGGGAUAACAGGCUGAUGACACCCAAGAGAUCUUAUCGACGGAGUCGUUUGGUACCUCGAUGUCGACUCAUCACAUCCUGGGGUUAAAGAAGGUCCCAAGGGUUCAAUUGUUCGCUGAUUCACGUGGUACGUGAGUUAGGUUUAGAAUGUCAUAAGAUAGUUCAGUUCCUAUCGACUAUUGGUGUUAAAAGGAGAACUGCGAAGAGCCAACCCUACCACGAGAGGACUGGGUUGGGCUAACCAAUGGUGUACCGGUUGUUAUGCCAGUAGCAGUGCCGGGUAGCUAAGUUGGUAUGGAAGAACUGAUGCGCCGCGGGAAAAUUUUCUCUAUAAAUGUUCUUGGAUGAGGUUUUUGAACAGAACUCUGAUAGGCGAGAGGUGUAAGCACCGCGAGGUGUGAAGCGAUCUCGUACUAAACGAAACAACUUUCACUU
rnacentral:rRNA from 1 species